rnacentral:tRNA from 1 species
CUCUCGGUAGCCAAGUUGGUUUAAGGCGCAAGACUGUAAUAAUCACUACGAAAUCUUGAGAUCGGGCGUUCGACUCGCCCCCGGGAGA